UGGGGAAUAUUGGACAAUGGGCGCAAGCCUGAUCCAGCCAUGCCGCGUGAGUGAUGAAGGCCUUAGGGUUGUAAAGCUCUUUUGUCCGGGAAGAUAAUGACUGUACCGGAAGAAUAAGCCCCGGCUAACUUCGUGCCAGCAGCCGCGGUAAUACGAAGGGGGCUAGCGUUGCUCGGAAUCACUGGGCGUAAAGGGCGCGUAGGCGGACUCUUAAGUCGGGGGUGAAAGCCCAGGGCUCAACCCUGGAAUUGCCUUCGAUACUGAGAGUCUUGAGUUCGGAAGAGGUUGGUGGAACGGCGAGUGUAGAGGUGAAAUUCGUAGAUAUACGCAAGAACACCAGUGGCGAAGGCGGCCAACUGGUCCGGUACUGACGCUGAGGCGCGAAAGCGUGGGGAGCAAUCAGA
rnacentral:rRNA from 1 species